AUUGAACGCUGGCGGCAGGCUUAACACAUGCAAGUCGAGCGGAGCUGAGGUGCUUGCACCUUAUCUUAGCGGCGGACGGGUGAGUAAUGCUUAGGCAUCUGCCUAUUAGUGGGGGACAACAUUCCGAAAGGAAUGCUAAUACCGCAUACGUCCUACGGGAGAAAGCAGGGGAUCUUCGGACCUUGCGCUAAUAGACGAGCCUAAGUCGGAUUAGCUAGUGGGUGGGGUAAAGGCCUACCAAGGCGACGAUCUGUAGCGGGUCUGAGAGGAUGAUCCGCCACACUGAGACUGAGACACGGCCCAGACUCCUACGGGAGGCAGCAGUGGGGAAUAUUGGACAAUGAGGGGAACCCUGAUCCAGCCAUGCCGCGUGUGUGAAGAAGGCCUUAUGGUUGUAAAGCACUUUAAGCGAGGAGGAGGCUACUGAGACUAAUACUCUUGGAUAGUGGACGUUACUCGCAUAAUAAGCACCGGCUAACUCUGUGCCAGCCGCCGCGGUAACAC
rnacentral:rRNA from 1 species